rnacentral:rRNA from 1 species
AACGGCGAGUGAAGCGGCAAGAGCUCAAAUUUGAAAUCUGGCUCCCCUUGGGGGGUCCGAGUUGUAAUUUGUAGAGGAUGCUUCGGGUGUGGCCGCCGUCUAAGUUCCUUGGAACAGGACGUCACAGAGGGUGAGAAUCCCGUCUUGGGCGGCCGGUCCGCGCCCGUGUGAAGCUCCUUCGACGAGUCGAGUUGUUUGGGAAUGCAGCUCUAAGCGGGUGGUAAAUUUCAUCUAAAGCUAAAUAUUGGCCGGAGACCGAUAGCGCACAAGUAGAGUGAUCGAAAGGUUAAAAGCACCUUGAAAAGGGAGUUAAACAGCACGUGAAAUUGUUGAAAGGGAAGCGCUUGCGGCCAGACUCGGGGGCGGGGUUCAGCGGGCGCUCGUCGCCCGUGCACUCCCCGUCUCCCGGGCCAGCAUCAGUUUCGACGGCCGGUCAAAGGCCCCCGGAAUGUGUCGUCUCUCGGGACGUCUUAUAGCCGGGGGUGCAAUGCGGCCCGCCGGGACUGAGGAACGCGCUUCGGCCCGGAUGCUGGCGUAAUGGCCGUAAGCGGCCCGUCUUGAAACACGGACCAAGGAGUCUAACAUCCACGCGAGUGUUCGGGUGUCAAACCCGUGCGCGCAGUGAAAGCGAACGGAGGUGGGAGCCUUAGGGCGCACCAUCGACCGAUCCUGAAGUCUUCGGAUGGAUUUGAGUAGGAGCGUGGCCGUUGGGACCCGAAAGAUGGUGAACUAUGCCUGAAUAGGGUGAAGCCAGAGGAAACUCUGGUGGAGGCUCGCAGCGGUUCUGACGUGCAAAUCGAUCGUCAAAUUU